CGGAGGCUCCACCCCCGGUGGGCGGGGCCCCAGCAGGGCUAUAUCUGGGUGCCCAGGUGCGGGUGGGCUCAGAUGGGGCCCGGCAUGGCCGAGGGGCAGGGCGCGGCGGGGGGCGACCCCCCGGACAAGGUGAAGCGCCCCAUGAACGCCUUCAUGGUGUGGUCCAGCGGGCAGCGCCGGCGCCUGGCCCAGGAGCACCCCAAGAUGCACAACUCGGAGAUCUCCAAGCGCCUGGGGGCCGCCUGGCGCCGGCUGCCCGAGGCCGAGAAACGCCCCUUCGUGGAGGAAGCCAAGCGGCUCCGGGCCCGGCACAUGAGGGACUAUCCCGACUACAAGUACCGGCCCAGGCGCAAGGGCCGGGCCCCCGCCAAGGAGCCGCCGGCCGGGAGCCCCCCGCAGCCGCCCGCGGCCCGGGCCUGGGGCUACGGCGAGCCCCUGGGCUACCAGCCGGCCCGUUACCCGCCGUGUCCGGCCGCCGCGGGAUACGGGAAUGCUGCUGCCACUGCAGGGUACAGGUGGGUCCUGCCCGCGCCUCCUGUUCCUGCCCCUGGGGUCCCUCCGGUGAACGGGGGACCCCCAACUGUGGCCCUGUACUGGGGAAAUGGGGGUAUAUUAGCAAGGGGGGGGCUACAUUCCCUCUUUCCCCCAGCCAGGCAUAGCUGAAAUUAGGGCCGCCUGAGGGGUCCAUGUAUAACCAACUCCAGAGGUGGCCGCAUCCCAGCGCCGGGCAAGGGGUCCCCAGGUAACCGGCUGCCCCGCCCCAGAGGUGGGCGCAUGUCAGCGCCGGGCGAGGGGUCCCUGGGUAACCGGCCGCCCUGCCCCAGAGGUGGGCGCAUCUCAGCGCCGGGCGCUGGGGGGAACAUACAGUAGGUUAGGACCAAGCAGGCACCAGACCCAGAAUUUGCAUGUGAACAAGGUGAGUCAAUGCCAGCUGCUGAGGGCAUGAUGGGGCACUAGUCCCUGGGUAUGUGAACCCAGGAGUCCUGGCUCCCAGCCCCCACUCCCCUCCCAGAGCCGGGGAGAGAACCCAGGAGUCCUGGCUCCCAGCCCCCCCUGCUCUGACCCACCAGCCCCCACUCCCCUCCCAGAGCCGGGGAGAGAACCCAGGAGUCCUGGCUCCCAGCCCCCCCUGCUCUGACCCACCAGCCCCCCCUCCCCUCCCAGAGCCGGGGCGAGAACCCAGGAGUCCUGG